rnacentral:rRNA from 1 species
UACGGAGGGUGCAAGCGUUAAUCGGAAUUACUGGGCGUAAAGCGCACGCAGGUGGCUGAGUCAGUCGAUUGUGAAAGCCCUGGGCUUAACCUGGGAAUUGCAGUCGAUACUACUCAGCUAGAGUAUGGGAGAGGGUAGUGGAAUUCCCGGUGUAGCGGUGAAAUGCGUAGAUAUCGAGAGGAACACCUGCGGCGAAGGCGGGUUGCUGGGCUGACACUGACGCUGAGGCGCGAAAGCUAGGGGAGCGAACGGG